rnacentral:tRNA from 1 species
UCAAUAGUUCUGUCGGUAGAGUAUUGGUCUUCCACCCAGCAGAUACCGUUCAAAUCCCACUACC